rnacentral:tRNA from 1 species
GGGGCUGUAGUAUAGCUAGGUAGAAUUGGCCCUUGGGGUGGGUCCGGCCCGUGUUCGAACUGUUGCAAGAAAACUUGCGCACGCAUGUCACGGCAGCCCCA